rnacentral:rRNA from 1 species
UACGGAGGGGACUAGCGUUGUUCGGAAUUACUGGGCGUAAAGCGCACGUAGGCGGAUUUGUAAGUCAGGGGUGAAAUCCCGGGGCUCAACCUCGGAACUGCCUUUGAUACUGCAAAUCUCGAGUCCGGAAGAGGUGAGUGGAAUUCCUAGUGUAGAGGUGAAAUUCGUAGAUAUUAGGAAGAACAACCAGUGGCGAAGGCGGCUCACUGGUCCAGUACUGACGCUGAGGUGCGAAAGCGUGGGGAGCAAACAGGG